AAAUGAUGGUCCAAUCUGCAAAAUCCUCCAAGUUAGUCACAGUUGUAAAAAUCCAAUUUGAACAAAAAGACAUUCUCACAUCUACUAAAUGCACAUAAAUGCCUUUACCAUAUCACUUGUAAAGUUGCUUCCAAAAGAAAAAUGCAAAAUAGAAGUAACCAGUGAAUAAAAAUACCUUACAAAGUUAUUAGAUUUUACAACACCACAGAACCACAAGUAAAAAUAAAAGAAAUUCUGCCAUGAUGAAAUGGACAAUAAUGCUUGAGUUCAUAUGGAGUAGUCUGGCACAUGUAGUAGUCUGGCCAGGACUCUCAUCAUCCCUUCUCAAUCCAACUUGGAAGACUAUGAGUUCUUGGAGGGAAAAAUGGAUCGACAUAACUGUCUGAAACUAGCAUACUAAACUUCAUUGUUUAUGGUAUGUGCGCAACAAAUGGGACUGAAACAAGGG
rnacentral:misc_RNA from 1 species